rnacentral:rRNA from 1 species
UACGUAGGAGGCAAGCGUUGUCCGGAUUAUUGGGCGUAAAGCGCACGCAGGCGGUCGUCUCAGUCCAGGGUGACAGUUUCCGGCUUAACCGGAAAAGGGACUCUGGAGACGGCACGACUUGAGGGGCUUCAGAGGGAUGUGGGAAUUCCCAGGGUGGGAGUGGUGAAAUGCGUAGAGAUCUGGAAGAACACCAAAGGCGAAGGCAACAUCCUGGGAGGUCACUGACGCU